rnacentral:rRNA from 1 species
UACGAAGGGAGCUAGCGUUGUUCGGAAUCACUGGGCGUAAAGCGCACGUAGGCGGAUGUGUCAGUCAGGGGUGAAAUCCCGGAGCUCAACUUCGGAACUGCCUUUGAUACAGCACGUCUUGAGUCCGAGAGAGGUGGGUGGAAUUCCUAGUGUAGAGGUGAAAUUCGUAGAUAUUAGGAAGAACACCGGUGGCGAAGGCGGCCCACUGGCUCGGUACUGACGCUGAGGUGCGAAAGCGUGGGGAGCAACAGG